rnacentral:misc_RNA from 1 species
GGGUCACCAAAAGCCGCGAAAAGAAUUUUGGAUGAUCUAGACUGGACUGCAACGUGGGACACCGUUGGACAUCGCUGGACACCGUUGGACACCGUUGGACACCGUUGGCAACCGUUGGACAUCGCUGGACACCGUUGGACAUCGUUGGACACCGUUGGACACCGGGGGACAUCGUUGGACAGCGUUGGACAUCGUUGGACAUCGUUGGACAUCGUUGGACGACGUUGGACGACGUUGGACAUCGCUGGACACCGUUGGACAUCGUUGGACACCGUUGGACACCGGGGGACAUCGUUGGACGACGUUGGACGACGUUGGACACCGUUGGACAUCGUUGGACACCGGGGGACAUCGUUGGACACCGGGGGACAUCGUUGGACGACGUUGGACGACGUUGGACACCGGGGGACAUUGUUGGACGACGUUGGACACCGUUGGACACCGUUGGACGACGUUGGACGACGUUGGACACCGUUGGACAUCGUUGGACGACGUUGGACAUCGUUGGACGACGUUGGACGACUUUGGACGACGUUGGACAUCGCUGGACACCGUUGGACAUCGCUGGACACCGUUGGACACCGUUGGACACCGUUGGCAACCGUUGGACAUCGCUGGACACCGUUGGACAUCGUUGGACACCGUUGGACACCGGGGGACAUCGUUGGACAGCGUUGGACGACGUUUCACAUCGUUGGAC